CGCAUAACAAUGAAGCUAAUUUUGACCCAAAGUCAGCUAUAAAAGUGUUUGUUUAGCUGGCUGUCACAUCCAGGUACGGAAACAUCCGUAAACAGGAUAUCCUUGUUUCUCCUUGAAGAAAAAGCUGCAGGGGUAAAGACACACUGGAGAGCCUACAGGUGUCUUGUCUUCCCCUUAAAAUGCGUCUCUUUCUUUCCCUCCGUAACUCCUCAAAUCCUCCGUGACCCAGAAACUGGAGUUAGCGCUUCCACCUAGCCCGGUGUCCCAAUGCUGUCGGAGACAAAAACAGCUCCAAGGUCUCCUGAAGGAAAUGCAAGAAAAGCCUGCAGUUUCUCUCUGCUGGCGGAGUGGAGAGAGUCACGUCCUUUGGACUGUCGCUGGAGAGCCGGCCCGAGUGCUUUAGGGAGAAACACACGUCCGGCGCCACUAAAGGGAGGUGCAGUGUUUUCCCCAACAAGUCCUGGGACCCACAACUGAAGGCUCCGCUGAAUGACAAAAAAAAACAACAGGAAUUUCAUGUCAGGGAACGAAGAGGACCUGAGGUGGGGACAGAGGAAGCAGAAGAGGUAGAUCAUCGAGGUCAAAAAAAAAAGCUGCAACAGGAAGAAGACUGAGGACAGCCUGCAGCAGAGGAAUGUGAGCGAGUUUGUAGGGGCAAGAAAAACAUCUUCGGAUACAAGAAAUCUAACAGCAGGCGGUCGGAGAACAUGCCUCCCAGGGUAUGUGCAGCCUCCCUCCAGGAGGUGGGGGGGGAGAUGAUGGCCACAUUAUCAGCCAUCACGGACAACACCUCUCACCCCCCACAUGGAUCCCUGUGCCCAGGGCGGCUCUCUCUAUGGCAUGCAGCUCCAUAAAUAAAGGCACACAGAACAUGUUUUUCAUCUCUGCUGCCACGAGGCUCUACAGUCUCCACCAUAAUAACCCCCAGACAAUAAGAUGUCAUUUUGUAUAAUCAUUUCGGAGCUAUUAAUUAAGUGUCCACUAUCUGCUCAAACAUAUACAAUGGUGUCAUUCAAAUGCAAAUUUUAAAAUCAAAUUAUAUUCAUUACACACAGUUUAUCUAAUGUAGUCUGUUAUCUAUGAACACUUUUACCCUUUAUUUCACAACACUUUCAUAUCUCUAAUUCUUUUUAUGCACUGUGUGACACAUAGUGUGAUUUAUAUUGUGCAUAUAAUCCAGGAUGGGAGGAGUUAUUACUGUUGUCAGUUAUUACAACAUUAAAGUAGUGUAACUGGAUUGCUUUCUGUUACUUUGUGGUUACCUCAAUAUCAAACAUUUGCAAAUAAAGAAAUUGCAAAAAUAA